UGUUGAAGCUCGAAAGCCCAAAGUGGGGUGACCUUGGUGCUUGGUGUGCUUGGACAACCAAUGAAUACAGCACAGCUCAAGGGUUCCACCUGAGGGAGAAAAGAACACUGGAAAAGACAACCUGUUAUUUUAAAAUCAGCAUUGAGGAGUUCCUACUGUGUGCAUGUGGCGUUAGAGCAGAAACACUGCAAAGAGCAACCCAAGAUGAAGGCAGAUCCAUCCAAUGAAGAAGUCACUCAAGAAAUAGUUGUGGGAAGCACUGAAAAAACAGAAUUUGCAGGCAGGAAUGUUGGCAUAUCCUUUGAAAAGAAGAAAAAUUGUUUCCAGAGGAGAAAGGAAGCAAGGUAGCAGAAAUAUGAAGAGAAACCUCACAGCUUCAAGUCCAAACGAGAUAUUCCUCAAAAAUGACUUCUGUCCUGAUUAAUUUGCUAAAAAUAGAUCAACAUCUUCCAGUAAAAACUCUCUAUUAAAAAGAUGCUGGCCAGCAAAAGUAUCACAACUUGUGCCUGUGCAUGGCUUCCUGUUUUCCAAAGGCCUCCACAAAACCUUCUGCUUUGUUUCCCACAGGACUUAUUCCAUGCAUGUUUUAGAUGUAUUUUUCCAUGGGUAGAAGAAGCUGGGACACACCCUCAAUGGGGAAACACUAGGCCUGUUCAUUGCCAUCUGAUUUCAAAAGGCUUUCCAGCCCUGAUGGGCUGGUGGGAUUUUUCCUGGGUGGUGGUGUUUCUGUGUGUAGCAGCGUGUGCCCUGUGCUGGAAGGGCCAGUGUGGCCCUUGGGGAGUGUGGUAUGAAGAGCCACGUGGCAGCAUUAAAUUAACUGAUGGAAAAAGAGCACUUACCUUUGCUGGAUGGCAUUUGAAAUUUCUAACAUGUUGCACAAACACAAAUUACCCUUUGUGCUCCCCAAAAAGAUAAAAACUGCUGCUCUUACAAAGCCAGGAGGGGUAAGAGCCAUGAUACAGUUACUACUGUGUCUAUCUCUCUUCCAGAUCAUAGGAUGAUAGAAUGGUUUUGGUGGGAAGGGACCUUAAAGAUCAUCUAGUUUUAAGCCCUCUGCCAUGGGCAGGGAUGGCACUCACUAGA